rfam:Ornithorhynchus anatinus chromosome 3, whole genome shotgun sequence.
ACCCUCUCAGGGUUGCACCUGGGGACUUUCCAGUACUACACCAGUCUCAACUACCAGAGGGAGAGUCAAGCAGAGGCCUAUCCAUUCCAUUCCUAGCUUGGCCAGUGGCUAGUGAGUGGAAGGCAACUUGCUACAAGU